CUGCAGAUGCAAGAGAAAAGUAACUUCACACUUUCUGCCUGCCUGACUGUGGCAGGUAAGACUGAAUGGGGGAAUGCAUUA
rnacentral:snoRNA from 1 species